UCGGCGGGCGGCAGCUUACACAUGCAAGUCGAGCGGUAACAUUUCUAGCUUGCUAGAAGAUGACGAGCGGCGGACGGGUGAGUAAUACUUAGGAAUCUACCUAGUAGUGGGGGAUAGCACGGGGAAACUCGUAUUAAUACCGCAUACGACCUACGGGAGAAAGGGGGCAGUUUACUGCUCUCGCUAUUAGAUGAGCCUAAGUCGGAUUAGCUAGAUGGUGGGGUAAAGGCCUACCAUGGCGACGAUCUGUAGCUGGUCUGAGAGGAUGAUCAGCCACACCGGGACUGAGACACGGCCCGGACUCCUACGGGAGGCAGCAGUGGGGAAUAUUGGACAAUGGGGGCAACCCUGAUCCAGCCAUGCCGCGUGUGUGAAGAAGGCCUUUUGGUUGUAAAGCACUUUAAGCAGUGAAGAAGACUCCGUGGUUAAUACCCACGGACGAUGACAUUAGCUGCAGAAUAAGCACCGGCUAACUCUGUGCCAGCAGCCGCGGUAAUACAGAGGGUGCAAGCGUUAAUCGGAAUUACUGGGCGUAAAGGGAGCGUAGGUGGCUCGAUAAGUCAGAUGUGAAAUCCCCGGGCUCAACCUGGGAACUGCAUCUGAAACUGUCGUGCUAGAGUAUGUGAGAGGAAGGUAGAAUUCCAGGUGUAGCGGUGAAAUGCGUAGAGAUCUGGAGGAAUACCGAUGGCGAAGGCAGCCUUCUGGCAUAAUACUGACACUGAGGCUCGAAAGCGUGGGUAGCAAACAGGAUUAGAUACGCUGGUAGUCCACGCCGUAAACGAUGUCUACUAGUCGUUGGGUCCCUUGAGGACUUAGUGACGCAGCUAACGCAAUAAGUAGACCGCCUGGGAGUACGGCCGCAAGGUUAAAACUCAAAUGAAUUGACGGGGCCCGCACAAGCGGUGGAGCAUGUGGUUUAAUUCGAUGCAACGCGAAGAACAUACCUGCUCUUGACAUAUCUAGAAUCCUGCAGAGAUGCGAGAGUGCCGUCGGUAUUAGAUACAGGUGCUGCAUGGCUGUCGUCAGCUCGAGUCGUGACAUCGUUGCGUUAAGUACUGCAACGACACCACCCAUGGUCCUACUUACCAGCGGUGAGUCGGGUAGUCUAAGCAUCUGCAAGUGGACAACUUGACGCACGGCGGACGAGUUCAGGUCUCUGGCGUAGGACAGUGCUGAUUGCUCCAAUGUAGUCAGUACCGUACGGCAUGAUGCCAUCUCAAGCUAUCGUAUGUCA
rnacentral:rRNA from 1 species